AUGAAUCAAACAGAGGAAGAAGAGUUAAAUCAAAGGGGGCUCAAAGCUUCUGCCGACAACACCGACAAACAACCACCCUAUCUAAUGCAAUCACAACCUCCGCUCAGACCAUCGAGCCAUCACCUUGUUCUUGUCUCCCACACACCAUCACUGGACAUGCGAGACUCCAGCAUCAACGCCUCCACACGAUGUUGUCGGCACGCAACAAGUCGACGACACCUCCGCACAACAGUGAACCACCCUCCAUGUCGUACACCACUACCAUCGUCGUCGCCAUCAAGAUCCAGUCGCCUCCCCUGCAACCACAACUUCGAGCAUAUCGGAAUCUCUGCCACCGUUCCAGAUUACGGUCGCCACUGUUACAAGAUGACGAAGCCACACGAUGCCACCGUCGCCGAUAUUCCAUUCUUAUAG